rnacentral:lncRNA from 1 species
UGUGUCACUGAAAUGUGCUGCCAGUGGUGACUGCUGUUUUAAAAGAAAUCUCUGGAGGGGCUCUCAUAACUCAAAAACUCUGGCCAGUGUUCUACCUUUAGAAAGUCACCUGAUGAACUCUUCACCAAUAGUAAAGGGCUUCUUAGCUUUAGUAAUGCAGUUAGCCACCAAGAAUGAUGUUCUCAGUGCAGACACAGCACAUGUACCCUGAACCUAAAAUAAAAGUUAAAUAAACAAACUACUAAAGCACAUGUGAUCACAGAGGUUUCAGUAAGCCCUGGAUAAUUUUAGAAAGUUCACAGCCAAAUCCAACAAGUUCAUUGCUCAGCACCUUUUAUAAUAUUUCUUCAUUGUAGGACAUUUGUAAUUCCGUCUUGGUUUGGCUUCUUUCAGAAGGCUGGAUCCCCAGCCUCUCACAAAGUCCCAGGCACCACUGUGUGAAGUUCCUGUUGUGGCCGCAACAAAUGCCCCACACUUAGUGGUUUAAACCCACACAAAUGUAUUAUCUUACAGUUUUGUAGGUCAGCUGUCUGAUAUGGAUCUCACUGGACUAAAAUCCAGGUGUUGUCAGGGCUGUGUUCUUUUCUGGAAAAACCAUUUCCUUGCCUUUUCCAUCCACAGUUUUCCACCCACAUCGCUCCCCCUUCAAGGCCAGUAAUGUUGGACUGAGUCCUUUUGAGCCGCCAUCUUCUGGGUCUCUCUCCAAUUUUCUCAUCCACUUUGACCCUUGCGAUUACACCGACCCCUGAGAAACCUCCCCCAUGAUCCAAUCACCUCCCACCAGGCCCCACCUCCAACACUAAGGAUUAC